rnacentral:tRNA from 1 species
GGGAAUGUGGCUUAGUGGUAGAGUGCUUGCCUAACAUGCAUGAAGCCCUGGGUUCAAUACCUCAGUACCA